rnacentral:rRNA from 1 species
UGGGGAAUAUUGCACAAUGGGCGGAAGCCUGAUGCAGCGACGCCGCGUGGGGGAUGAAGGCCUUCGGGUUGUAAACUCCUUUCGACAGGGACGAAGCGUAAGUGACGGUACCUGUAUAAGAAGCACCGGCUAACUACGUGCCAGCAGCCGCGGUAAUACGUAGGGUGCGAGCGUUGUCCGGAAUUACUGGGCGUAAAGGGCUCGUAGGUGGUUUGUCGCGUCGUCUGUGAAAUUCUGGGGCUUAACUCCGGGCGUGCAGGCGAUACGGGCAUAACUUGAGUGCUGUAGGGGUAACUGGAAUUCCUGGUGUAGCGGUGAAAUGCGCAGAUAUCAGGAGGAACACCGAUGGCGAAGGCAGGUUACUGGGCAGUUACUGACGCUGAGGAGCGGAAGCAUGGGUAGCGAACAGGAUUAGAUACCCUGGUAGUCCAUGCCGUAAACGGUGGGCGCUAGGUGUGAGGGUCUUUCUACGACUUUCGUGCCGUAGCUAACGCAUUAAGCGCCCCGCCUGGGGAGUACGGCCGCAAGGCUA